rnacentral:rRNA from 1 species
GACGAACGCUGGCGGCAUGCCUAAUACAUGCAAGUCGAACGAGUUCUCGUUGAUUGAUGUGCUUGCACUGAUUUCAACAUUGGAACGAGUGGCGAACUGGUGAGUAACACGUGGAAAACCUGCCCAGAAGCAGGGGAUAACACUUGGAAACAGGUGCUAAUACCGUAUAACAACAAAAACCGCAUGGUUUUUGUUUGAAAGGUGGCUUCGGCUAUCACUUCUGGAUGGUUCCGCGGCGCAUUAGCUUGUUGGUGGGGUAACGGCUCACCAAGGCGAUGAUGCGUAGCCGACCUGAGAGGGUAAUCGGCCACAUUGGGACUGAGACACGGCCCAGACUCCUACGGGAGGCAGCAGUAGGGAAUCUUCCACAAUGGACGCAAGUCUGAUGGAGCAAUGCCGCGUGAGUAAAGAAGGGUUUCGGCUCGUAAAACUCUGUUGUUGAAGAAGAACGGGUGUCAGAGUAACUGUUGACAUCGUGACGGUAUUCAACCAGAAAGCCACGGCUAACUACGUGCCAGCAGCCGCGGUAAUACGUAGGUGGCAAGCGUUGUCCGGA